AGGUGAGAUUUUUUUAUGUGUUCAAAUGUUGCUCUUUAUUGUAAAAAUCAUUCCAUGACCUAUAUAUUCUUUUUCUGGCAAAGCUAACAGGGAAAAAAGAAAACACAGAUUUAAUGUCUCCUGAUAGUACAUGUUAGAAAGAUGAAUGUGGUUUAACUGGAAACUCAAAUAUCAGGAUUAGACUGUUAAAGCUGGUAGAUGGGGAAAAUCUUUAGGCAGAGAAUUAUGGGGCAAACAGUGCUGUCACCAUUCAACUAGUCUUGAUUUAGUAUUCUAAACAGCAACAAUGACAUCACACUGCUGACAGUACCUGUUGGAACAUGCAAUAGUUCUUUUUUGGUGUGAGAGUUUCCAGUUUCAGAACAUGGAAAUUGUAAGGUUUGGGUAUAUGAAAGUUGUCUUACUAUUUAUUUUUGCACUGGAUCUGGCUGAUAAUGUAGUUUUCUGUGAUGUACCAACAGCUUUGAGGAAGUCAUGCUUAUUAGCUAGAAUCUUCUUAGUUUUCCCCAGAUUUUCUCUAGUCAUGUUAUGACAGCAUUUAAACUAAAUCCGAAACUUCUGGGCUAGGGAAAUGGAUGUUUAUGCUCUUUUUACUCCCUUGAAAUAGUGAAUUUUUUUUUUUUUUUUCAUGAGAAGAUAUGUUUUUAUAACUGAGGUUAGGAGGGGGCAGUGUUCAGAACUACAGCUUCUGGCAAAAGACAGGAACUGAAGUCUGAUAUGCUGGCAGUGCUAUUCCCCUGUCUUUUUAAAGUCCUCAUCAUCUACUGGUUUAACAUCCCAGAAGCCUUACUGCUCAAGCAAUUGGCUGGUUGCCAUAGAACCAUUAAGAUAGUUUAAUGGAAAUGGCAAGGUGCUUGUUUCUUGUUCCCUGAUGAGAUAACAGAUUUCUAUAAAUUAUAAUUUGAUAUUCUUUAAUUAUUUUAUGUUAGCAGGUAAUCUUUCUGUAUAUCUCAUCUGUUUAGCAUACUUACAGUUUGAUUUU